CCUACGGGAGGCAGCAGUGGGGAAUAUUGGGCAAUGGGCGCAAGCCUGACCCAGCAACGCCGCGUGAAGGAAGAAGGCUUUCGGGUUGUAAACUUCUUUUAAGGGGGAAGAGCAGAAGACGGUACCCCUUGAAUAAGCCACGGCUAACUACGUGCCAGCAGCCGCGGUAAUACGUAGGUGGCAAGCGUUGUCCGGAUUUACUGGGUGUAAAGGGCGUGCAGCCGGAGAGACAAGUCAGAUGUGAAAUCCACGGGCUCAACCCGUGAACUGCAUUUGAAACUGUUUCCCUUGAGUGUCGGAGAGGUAAUCGGAAUUCCUUGUGUAGCGGUGAAAUGCGUAGAGAUAAGGAAGAACACCAGUGGCGAAGGCGGAUUACUGGACGAUAACUGACGGUGAGGCGCGAAAGCGUGGGGAGCAAACAGGAUUAGAUACCCCUGUAGUC
rnacentral:rRNA from 1 species